rnacentral:lncRNA from 1 species
CAUAGCAUAACUCAACUAGUAAAAGACUUAGCAAGAUUGUUGUAAGGACAGAUCUUGAACUCAUCUUCUAGUUUAGUUUAGUUUUCUGGAUCUUGAGACGAAGAAGAACGUGAUUUAGAUUUUUUUUUUUUUUUUUUUGGUUGGGAAAUUAAAUAAAUAGCUUUGUCUAGUUGCCUGACAUGGACAUAGUGACUUUUUUGAGUUUUCCAACAAGGAUCGAAAUGUGGAUAUUCCAAAAAAAAAAAGAAAACAGAAAUUUAGUUAUUUCAUAUUUUUAUUCAACAUUAGAUAAUUAAGGUCGAUUAGAAAUCCAAAACCUAUACUCGAUCCGAUGAUUGUUUUAUAUAAUCAUAUUUUUUUUUAAAAGAUGAUCAAGGUCAUUUAGACCCGUUUUUAUUAUGGAUUAUUUCAUUACGGUCUAUAAUAAAUUGGAUAUGGACGGACCAUGUACAACACACCCAUUUUGACAGUUCUAAUCAGUAAUCACAACCUAUUUUUAGUUUUUGAUCUCUGUUUGUUGUUUGUUGGAGAUAAUGAAAACACUAUUAAACUCAAAAAUCAAAAAUAAGGUAGAUGUUUUUGUGCUGAAUGGUAACAUCUAUCUUAUGUUCAUUGUGGUUUUUGUUUGUUGUUACAAAGAUAAAAAUACAUUCGAAACUUUUUUGGGGUCAAAGUCACAAAAAAUUUGUUUGGGGUCAAACUCACAAAGUAGUACAAAUUAUUACGACAAUUAAAGUGGAUAUAAAGUCUAAUCUUAUUAUAUAAAGUUAGGUUUUCAAAGUUAGUCAUUAAUUAAGAAGAACGUAACAUGUGUUAAUUGAAUUGAUAAGAUGUUGAUAUAUGUCAGAUAAUUAAUGGUAAAAAAAUAAUAUAAAUAAUUUUUUAAAAAUAAUAUUUUUAAAACAGAAAGAAACAAUAAAAAGUCAGAAAAUUUAACAAGUACUUAAUAAUAAUCCUAAAGGAAAAAAGAUAGUAAUUAUAAAAUGAAAUUAUUAAUAAAAAUUAGGUCUAAGGAAUUAAGAAACUAACACACAAAAAAAGAAAAAAAUUACAAUAAGUUAGUCAACUAUAAGUUAAUCUUAGGAAAUACAGUAAUUAAAUUAUUAAAUUAGUUUUUAGUUAUGUCGGUUUGGGUUUAUCACAUAGAUUAGAGUUUAAUAUUCACAAUCAAACGAGAUUAUAUAACGAUUUUAGUUUAUAAAGAAUAUAUUAAGUCAGCGUAUAUUUGUAUGAUUAAAACUAUUUAAUUCAAAGAAAAAAAAAACAAAUAACUUCAAAAUAACAAAGGUAAAAACCUUAAAAAGGUUCACAACUGAAAUAGACAAAACAGUAAAAAAAAAAAACAAAAAAACAAACAAACUUUAAAGAUAAAUUCAUACCAAACUUAGAACAUAAUACCAACUAGGAGUCUAGAAAUGAUUAUUAUUCAAAUUCAGCCAAUCCCUAUUGAUAUCAAACAUCGCCAUAUUAGUUGUUUCAUUACGAGGUGGCUCUUGGCGAACAUCAUCGUUGGUCAUUGUAGCGUUGUUGUUCCCUUCCUCUUGUAUUUCCAUCUCAUGACUCAUGAAAUCAAAAGAGUAUUGUUCUCUUUGAUUCAUAUCCAUUAUUGGAUUAUCAUUCAUGUUAUGAUGUUGUAAUGGUUGAGCAGUAGACUCACCCAAACCAAAGAAAGACAUCACUUCAGGACAAAAGAGCUCCAUCUCCAAAUUAGGGUUUCCAUUGCUACUGCUUCCUUUGUAUGGACAGUAACUUCGUUGAUAACCUAAAGGCUCAAGUGGUUUGGGAUCGAGAACCCAUUGAUCUAUUAAGUAGUGAUUUUUAGUCUCCCUUGUAGUUGCUACAACAUCAUGCUUUGUGGGGAUCAUCAGCUGCUCGACUUGCACCUCAAAUGGAAGCAUUGGUGGAUCACGAAGAGGAGAGAACUGCAUGAAACCUAGCUCAUUCCUAAAAUGUAUAAUUUUCUCUUUUGAGAAAGAUAGUAAUGCAUAGAUCUCACUUAAGUUAAGAUCACUUAUCGCACGACCGUUUUGUAAAUGCAUCAUUAACUCAUCAAUGACAUACUCUUUAUUCUUUUUAUCACUCUCCAUCAACUUCUUAUGAACGGUCUUCGUCUUCUCCUUUAGAAAUGAUUCGAUACUCGUCUCUUUAUUCUUCUGCGCAAGCUCCGGUAAGGCAAAGAAAUCGUCUAAGAGGCCACGAGCCUUCUCAACUGAUGGCCACACCACUGGACCAACUUCAUUAGGACUGAAAAUGAUUAGACAAGCUUGUAUAUCACACAAUAUGGUUAGCUCUUUCACCUUUUUGAGUAAUGCUUCUCUCCUUUGCUUUAAACUUUUUGCUCUUGCCUUGUCAUUCUCAACCCAUGCAAGUUUUACAUUCUUUCUUGGCAUGGUUGCUAUAUGACUUUAAUCUCUCUUGUUGUUAUAGUUUUUUUUGUUGGGAUAUGAUGAAGAGGACAUGCAAAUUCAUUUAAAUAGACUUGAAAUUAGGAGAUAAGAUUUCAGAAACUAAUACUAGUCAAAGAUGUAAAAUUAAUUACUAUUUACUAUUAUGUGGAAUGUUUUUAAGUUGCUUAAUAAUAUUUAAUUCAAAGACCAAUUAAAUUUUUUACCAAAUUAUGUUGGAUUUGGUUUGGUUUUACAUUGAAUGAUUUGUUAAAAUAUCUAUGUGGUUAUGUUAUUAUAUAAAAUUUAACUAUUUACACAUCAAAAUUAAAUUUCUUGCCAAUUUUUUUGGUCAUAGUCAAUACAUUGAAUUAAUGUUAUAACUCAUUGUGUUGUCAUAAUUUAAUGCUAGUCAAUAAUUAUUAUUCAUCAUAUCAUAUGGUAUUGAUUGAAAGUUAUUUUUGAAACUUAAUGAUAACUAUACAUUUCCUUCAAUAAGCAUCUUUAAAAAAUAAUCAUUCAAACUAAAAGAUAAAUUAUAACUUUUACCAUAUUUCUACAAACUUUUGACUGUACAUCAAAUCUUAUAUUAAGAUUAUAAAAUAACAUUAAAUUUGGGAAGAUUUUGAAAACAAUAUUAAUUUCAAAUAAAGAGAAUAAUAUAUUUUAAGAUAAUAAAAAUAUCGAAAUAAAUAAAAUCAAUUCUUAUCCUACAUAAAUUGUCUACAACCACAAAUGACAAAUCUAUUAAGCUUAUCAUAAAUAACAUCUUCUAAACUUGACUGCUUUAUUUUGUGGGCUAUAUAGAAUUAUUUGGUCAAGUCACAUAUCAUUUAAGGUUCGUCAUUAUCUUUUCAAUCCUGACUAGAAUCAGGCUUCUCUUGAAAAAAGGUAAGGAGUUAUUCUCACUUAUUAGAUUAGUAUUAGCCGCCUAUCCCGGAAUGAAAUCAGAUCACUUCGUUGCUUUCCCGCGCGCAAAGCGAAUGGGCGCUGUGCUGUGGCCUGUGGGUCAGUUUCGGGGUGGGGGCGCAGAGAUACCAGAAGAAAUGAUUCAUUACAAGUAUACUAACCACUCUCGCUUGCUACCGAAUGGCAGUCCGUUUCGGAUGCGAUUGCGAUUCAAGUGUGGGAGCGAUGCGAUUAGUUAGAAUUGUGAAUGGAAAUCCGAUUCGGGUGCGAUGUGGUUACAUCGUAUUGUUGAAUGGCAAAGCGAUUAGGAUGUGCUUUGAGUGUGAUUAGAAUACAAUAUUACCAAAUUAACCUUUAGUUAUAUUAUUUUUGUAUUUUCAAUUUUCUUUCACAUUUAGUAUAAUUUAUAGUAUAUGACUAAUAAUAAUAUAUAAACAUUUCUUAACUUAAAUUUAUAUACUAAUAAUAUAUGCAAACCAACAUCCAUUCUAAACAUAAAAUUGUAAUAUAUGAUAACAAAUAGAGAAUAUUAUAUAUUAUGCCAAGUACAGUGAUUAUUUUUGUAUGGACUGCCAAUUUUUUUAUGGGCUUCUCCCCCCUGCCACAGCCCAUAGAUAGAAAGACAUGUUUGUCCUUCUCUUUAAUUAACCUAGCAAAAUCAGACAUAAAGUCAUUAUUUCUCAAAAGCGUAACUUUCAACCUUUUCUCUCUUACCCAUCAGAUUUUCAGCAACAACAACGAAGUAUUAUCAAAUGGAUAAACAACUCACCCUUUCUAUUUUUUUUUGUUAAAUAAGUUCUCCAACUCCUUUCUAUCACCGAUGCAAUUUUUUUUUCCUAACCUAAUGGCUGACCAGAAUAUUUUCACCGUCACCACCGUUGAAGACACCGUUCCCGACAGCGGAACAACCACUGGCAACACAGUAGUGAACCCGCAAAGCCGCUGGAACCAUUGAUUCCGGCCAAAGGAAAUCUCUGUCAAUGUAAGUUUUUACGGACCAGAUCUAUACCAAAUUUUGUCCAUGAGUUUUUCUUGUCCAUCGUAAGUCUUCCUCUAACAUUCAUUUUACAGAUUGUCCAUCGGAUCUACAGAACAAAACUAUUCAUCAGUUAGUCCAAUAGACAACCCUACUCAGCCCAUGUAAACUAUGAGAUAGACCAUUUAUAUUUUUGUGGGAUACCAUUCGUCCUUUCCAUUUUUAUUUAUUGAUAGACAAAUUUUGUUCUUUAGGAUCUCUGUAGACAACAUAACAUAUGACACCAGCGAUGGACAACCGUAAGAGGAUAUUAAAAAUCUUGUUUAUCCUGUGGAUCUAACCAAAAAUCUGGAUGUUCUCCUUUUUCAACCUUCUUCCCUUCUUCAAAUUAUCUUUAUCAUUUUGUCUAUAGUAAGUCGUCCUCUAACAUGUUUUACAAAUGGUCUAUCAGAUAUACAAAACAAGUCUGUCAAUCAGUUAGUCCAGUAAACAACCCUCCUCAGCCCAUGUAAACUAUGAGAUGGACCAUUUAUAUUUUUGUUGAAUGCUCUACCAUUCGUCCUUUCCAUUUUCUAUUUAUUGAUGGACAAAAUUUGUUAUUUAGGAUCUCUGUAGACAACAUAGCAGAUGACACUUGUGAUGGACAAUCGUAUGAAGAGAUCAAAAUCUUGUUUAUCUCGUGGGCUUAACCGAAAAUCUAAUUGUUGUCCUUCUUCGACCCUUCUCCCAUUAUUCAAAUUUUCUCUGUUAUUUUGUCUUCCAUAAAUCCAUCUGGAUUUCAUAUGUUGUUUUACUUUUUAACUACCCAUUAAGUUAAUAUCUGUUGGAUAAUAGCCUUCAUCCUUUGUAUUAAAUAAUGCAGAGAAUAUUUCAUCUGACAACUUUUUUUCAUUUAUGUGCUAACAUUGAGAGAGGAUAUUUAUGUCAUUUUACCUACCUAAUAUGGCAUUGCAGAAAAUGCUUUGGAGAAAAUGGCAUUUUUAAUUUUUUGAGUUUCAAAAAUGGCACCGAGAACAAAAUUCCCUAACAAAUAUGUCUUUACAUCAAAAUGAGAUUUUAAAAUCCAAAACCUGUUUUACAUGUAAAUAAGAUCUAUUUAAGAAAAAAAAAAUGUUAUUAAUAAUGAUGACAUCCCUUUCUGCUAGUUGCAUUCCCAAAAGCGAUUCCCAAGCUUUAAACCUAUACAUGAGUAGCAAACAUAAACUUAUUAUCAUCUAGUGCAAGUAUACAGAUUAAGAAAUACCAUCUUUUCCAUCUCCUUAACACAAGCAGCAGAACUAUACGUAUAAAAACUUUCUCUGCCUCCCAUAAAAAAUCUUCCCUGGUCCUCGAUAAGAUCUAAGACUCGAUCCCACUGAUCUUCCCUUGAGUGAUUUCGAGAUGAUUUAGGUUGCUUUGACUUGACCUUUUACCAUUUUUCUGAGGUUGCUCAGAAUUUUGAGCUAUAGGAGAGGUGUUGUUAAGCUCAAUAUCUUCAACAGAAUCUGCUUCGAAAGGCAAAUGACUUGCUCCAUCAUGGUGUUGCCAUCCAUCAUCACCUACUGAAAUUGACUCCUCACAAAAAAAAGUUGUUCAAUGAGCGGAAUAUCUCGAAUAGGAUAGUUACGAAGAGUUUUUGCUUCAGGUUUUUCCUCUAAUGGAGAAAGACAAACAUAAACAAUAGUCUGAAACAGAUUAUACAAAUGAGUUUACUUUACUUAAUAGAAUUUAUAGAAUAUACAUUGAUUAAGUCCCCUUUCCUUUUCUCUUUUACACAAAUUUCUAAGUGUCCACGAGCCAGAUUAGGUGGCCAUUUAAAUCUUUUACUCUCAAUAGAUGGAUCAUCUGUUUGUUCUGAUCUAUGUUGCUUUGUCAUCCUCUUAGAUUCCUAAAACAUAUAAAACAACAUAAUUAGAAUCAAGAGGCACAAAGUUUGAAGCUUUUAGAGUUCAAUAAGUAAAUAAAGACAUAGCAACAUACCGAAAUCUCUUAGAUUACUAAACUAGAUUACUCCUCAACGUUUUCAAAAACCAUAGAAAAACCACCAAAUGAUCAUGUUGAAAACCCAUCUAGAAUCACAGUUUAACAUCUUAAGAUACAAAACUUAUCUAAAAGUCUAAAACCAAAGAGAAAUACCAACUUAUCAUGUUGAGAAACCAGUGUUGAAAAACUCAGCUAGAAUCACAGUUAUAUGUUCUUGUGCCACUUCCCUUAGAGAGAGAGAGAGAGAGAGAGAGAGAGAGAGAGAGGACCUGGUGAAAGGGAGGCCGAGGCUGGCCAGCGCAGAGGUGUAACAAAGUCCUAGCGACGGUUGUAAAUCAAUCAUAGGCUUCACCGGCCAACAUGUAUCCGUUGAUCCUUAGUCAAGGAUUCAUGUACGUAUUAAUUCUAAACAUAAACACUUUCACAAUUUUCUAACAAUGGGAGCAAAAGCAAAAAAUCUCUUAACAUCUGGUCGAUGCAAUGGUGGGAUCAAAGAGGUUGAUGAGGACAAAGGUUGUAACGAUUAAAGCAUUGCAAAAAACUAAAACAAAUGUAACUAAUUGCAAAAUGGAGAAACCGUCACAGUCGGCUUGGAUUACAAGAGAUUCCGAAGGUGUUUUCCUAUGUGAAGGAAACAGUAAAGGAAGCUUGUGUUCUUCAAUGCUGGAAUCAGAACUUCAAAGUUUGUUGAUAGCAAUGCAACAUAUGUGGAUAAGGGGUUAGAAAAAAGUGAUCUUUGAAAGAGAUAAUACAACAAUAUGCUCAAACUUGUUCUAUGUGCUAAACUAAGUUUUACUCUUCACAAAUAGCAUCAAAGAAAUUAACUAGCACUGGGUCUUUGUUUAAUUUUGGAUAUUUCGGUUUGGUUAUUUCGGAUUUUUUUUUUGGUUUUUUUGAGUUUUGAAAAUUUUGCCGAAUUAACCAAAAUAAAUUUUGUUUUUUGGUUAUUUUGGUUUACAAUUUUUAAAUUCAAAAUUAACCAAAAUUUAGUUUUUUAAAAAAAACUAAAUUUCAGUUAUAUAAGGAUAAUUUUGGGGUUUUCUGUUUUGUUUUGGUUAUUUUGGAUUUGGUUAUUAUGGGUAGUUUGGUUAUAUUAGAGAUAAAUUUAGGUUAUGUAUCAAAAAUUAAAUAAAAAAAUUCGGUUAAUCAAUAACAGAACCAAAAUAUUUCGGCUUUCAAUUUAUUUUUCCUGCUGAUCGGUUUAGACCUAAUAAAUGAAGCCAAACCGAACACUCAGAAUUUUGGUUUGCCUCGGUUUGAUUUUUUUUUAUCCCAGGGCUAAAAUUAACUAUUGGGGGCAUGACUUCACUAAAAGGUAAAAUGCCUAUGGACAAGAAGAUACAAAGAAGCUAUUAAAAAAGAAAGAACGCCUAUGAUAGUUUUCCAAAAUUCCUUGCUUAUUGUGUUCGAGGUACCCGUUUUCAGUUGGGUUUAAUCUUCGCGGUGGCCUCUAUCCUUGGAUCUCUUUCAUUUCCGUUUGUAGGUCCUCUUGACAUCGACUCUUGAGUUCGUAGUCAUGCGUCUCAUGUUUUCUUCCGACUUCUCCAAUGAUUUUGAAAGUUUGUCUUUUGGCUUUAGUUGUUCUACUUUGUGUUUUCCGUGUAUUGGGCUUAAGCUUUCGGGGAUAUUUCUGUUUUCCGCUGGCUUUAAGAUUUCAAAAUUGUAUUCCACCCUUGUUUUUCAUCGUUGUGUUAUAUAAUAAAAAAAUUUCAGCGGAAAAAAAAAAAAAGUUUUCCAAAAUUCCAUUAAAUGACCUAAACUCUUACUUUAUUAAUUUUUCACCCCACGGCGGCUUAGCUUCGCUUCUUCACACGAGCCUUUGCCAUUUUUCGAGUUUUGAAUUCAAAGCAGAGAAACCCCAAAGCACUCAAUCUUCUCACAAUCUCUGCGAUUCCCAUCUCCGACUCCGAAUAAUCGGAAAAUCAAAAAUCGAGGUUUCACGGCGAAGAAAAUGGGGAAGAACGAGAAGACGUCUUUAGGACGAGCCCUAGUGAAGCACCAUAACCAUAUGAUCCAAGAAACAAAGGAAAAAGGCAAGUCGUACAAGGAUCAACACAAGAAGGUUUUGGAAUCUGUUACGGAGGUCAGUGACAUCGAUGCUAUCAUCGAACAAGCCGAGGAAGCUGAACGGCUCUACGCGAUUCAUCACGAUUCCGCAACCCCUGUGCCUAUCAAUAUGUGAGUUUCUCGAUUCGUUUUGUAUAAUUGAUCGGUUCUUCAAUCUUGUGAGCUCUGUAUUUGAUUUAUCUGAAUGUGUUUUAUGCUCUUAAUCUGAAGAAUUGGCUUAGAGCUUUGUGUAUUGAUUGUGGAGAUGCCUAAAUUGGUGAUUACUGUUUGUGUUCUUUGAGAUUUGCUUUGUGUUGGUGCUUCUGAAUCUGAAGAAGCUUCUUUGUAUUGAGUCAUUUCUCUCAUGAGAUAAUUGUUCUUUGUGUGUAAAUAGGGACAUAGGUUCGAGUUCAAGUGGUAUAACAGCUAAAGAAUGGAAAGAGCAACGGAUGAGAGAAGAGGCUUUACAUGCUAGUAGCCUUCAAGUGCCACGAAGGUGUGUGGUUUGUAUCCAUCUCUUCUGCUUCUUCUUUAGUUUUUGUUCAGGAGCUAUAUAAAGUCUCCUUUAGUGUAAUAUUCUUUCUUUUUGACUAUAUUUAGACCUCACUGGACACCUAAAAUGCAUGUGGAGCAACUUGAUGCUAAUGAAAAACAAGCUUUUCUCACUUGGCGCCGGAAACUUGCAAGGUUGGUUCUGUUUGACCUCGUUCUUCUUCUUGCUAGUGUUGGCAAUAAACAGGAUAAAUAUAUGUCACUAGAAGGCUUUUUGCUGUUCGUGGAAUUGAGGGUUGCUUAUAUGCAAGUGCUCGAACAGUUACACAGUUUCGACAAAGUCAAAUCGUUUUUGUCAGUGGUCUUGUACAAUACUACAAUACUUAUCUAUGAUGUGGGAACAAUUAAUGAAAAGUUGAGGAGAAUUUAUACUUGAAUCAGUGCUCAUAAGCUACCAACAAUAUUUACUCUUGUAUUUGCCAAGUGUUGCUUGCUACAAACUGCAAGAUUUUGGUUAUCACUUAAGUCACCUAAUUGCAUUAGUAUCGAUUUUGUUUUGUUAAAUGAUGGCUCUGAGGUUUCGAGUUGAUAUAUUUAUCUAACAUUAGCACUUGAAGAAGCUGAACUACUUUAACAACACAUAUGUAAGCUCAUUGUGUGUUCAAGAUAACCAUUUUUUUAUGUGUUUAAAGGAAAGUUGGGAAGAGUUUGGGAUAUGGUACCAGAACAGUCAAAUUAAUUUUGCUUUUGCUGAUUAAAAAAAUAUCCAUUUCGCAUCUUGAAGCAUGUUAUAGUCUACUCAAGAUAUUAUUUUGCUGCUAUUUUAGAUGUAUGGUUUGAUUGCAUGUGCAAAUUACGUUGGGACUUAGUACUCUAUACUUAUGCAUGCCCACCUACUUGUUCUCCUGUAUUCAGCCUCGAGGAAAAUGAAAAGCUUGUGUUGACUCCAUUCGAGAAGAACCUUGACAUCUGGAGACAGCUUUGGCGAGUGCUUGAACGAAGUGAUUUGGUAUGUCAUUUUUUCCAGGAUACUUUUUUCCGUCUCUCUCAUUUACCUGGAUUACGUUAAAUGUAAAAUCUCAUUGGGUAUAUGUACUUCUCUUUCAGAUUGUUAUGGUUGUUGAUGCUAGAGAUCCUCUUUUUUAUCGGUGCCCUGAUCUUGAGGUAACUCUAUCUCUGCCAACUCGAAGUUUUCUCUUAGUAGAAUUUUCCUGAUCAUACCAAAAAUUUAUGUAAAGAAUUUUUCUGACGCAGGCAUAUGCACAAGAAAUUGAUGAGCAUAAAAAAACAAUGCUUCUGGUAAACAAGGCGGAUCUUUUACCUACUUAUGUCAGGUAAAAUUCUGCCUUGCUUCUUUGCCUCUUAACUUAUUUUUGUUUUUCGCUUACCAAUUGGGUUGUACAUAUUGUAUACGCAGGGAGAAAUGGGCUGAAUACUUUUCCCGCAACAAUAUUUUGUUUGUAUUCUGGUCAGCCAAAGCUGCUACGGCUACCCUAGAAGGUAAACCCCUGAAAGAACAGUGGGGAGCACCUCAUACCUCUCAGAAGACAGAUGACCCAGCUGUUAAAGUAUAUGGAAGGGACGAGCUAUUGGCUCGAUUAAAACUUGAGGCUCAAGAGAUAGUAAAAAUGAGGAAAUCUAGAGGAGUUUCCGCAACUUCUGCUGAAUCGCACCGUGAACAAGUUGUGGUUGGUUUUGUUGGGUACCCCAAUGUGGGAAAGAGUUCGACAAUCAACGCUUUGGUUGGUCAGAAGCGAACAGGUGUCACAUCUACCCCGGGAAAAACAAAGCAUUUCCAGACAUUGAUUAUCUCUGAAGAGCUAAUGCUCUGCGAUUGCCCUGGUUUAGUCUUCCCUUCAUUCUCAAGCUCAAGAUAUGAAAUGAUUGCUUCUGGAGUUCUUCCAAUAGACCGGAUGACCGAGCACCGUGAAGCCAUUAAGGUUGUGGCCGAACGUGUUCCUCGGAAUGCGAUUGAGGAUGUGUACAACAUCUCUCUACCUAAACCCAAAACCUAUGAGCCUCAGUCCCGCCCACCACUUGCCUCAGAGCUUCUAAGAACGUACUGCCUCUCUCGUGGUUACGUCGCCUCUAGUGGACUACCUGAUGAAACCAAAGCAGCUAGACAGAUUCUGAAAGAUUACAUUGAAGGUAAGCUUCCACAUUUCGCAAUGCCUCCAGAGAUGACCCGAGAAGAUGAAAACGAAACAGCAGAUGAUACUUUGGGAGCCGAAAUAGUUAAAGGUUCACAGCCUGUGGAGAAAAGUGAAGAAGCACCUAGUCUUGGUCUUGAACAAGUUCUAGAUGAUCUGAGCUCAUUUGAUCUAGCAAAUGGACUUGGGCCAUCAAAGAAGACACAGAACAAGAAGUCACAUAGGAAAAAUUGAUUCGGUUUUUGAUGGAAAUCGUGCUGAGAAGUUCCUAGAAACCGACAAACAAUCACGAUACAUUGAUCGACAAAUGCUGAAACAUAUGAUACAUUUGUGAAAUUUUCUUAUGUAGAAAUUGUGAAAAUGUUCUAACAACUGUUGGCUAUAGAUGUUAUGUCUGUGGCAAAUACGAGAGUGAUGCUAGUCGAUAUAUCGAUGAAGAAUCCUUUGAAGCAGGUUCUGUAGUUGUAAACUUGUAAUAUAUGUUCUCUUUGACAUAUGAUCUGAUCACUCACAAGACUCACUCAUACGCAAAAGCAGUUCAAUCGGGUAACUUAAACUCCAGUAUUGGAAUACACAAAGUUCUAUUGUGUUUUUCGAUUUGAGAAUCUAAACUUUUUCUAAACCUUUUUAUUCUCCAGCAUCACACUUGUACCUAAAUCAAUGCACAUGCAAUGUUCAGAACAAUUUUGAUAUUGCAUUGUCUGCUAUAUUUUCCAUAGCUAUGGACUUUGGAGGAUUCCAAUAAAUGAGAGAGCAAAGAAACUUUAAAGAGUAAUGAAAUCAACACUGUCUAAGCUUUGAUACUUACGCCAUGCAAAUUUGACCAAAAAUAAAAUAAAAUUUAUGAACAUAAAAAAUGCUUGAAACUACAAAAAUGUGAUUUUUCUUUUUCAUGAACAUAAAAAUGUUUGAAACUACAAUCAUAAAUUUAGAUUGAUAAAUAUUUAUGGUACCAAGAUAUAUAUAAGUCGUAAUAACUAUUAUGGCGGUUUGUACGAAAAUAAAAUCUGACUUGAUGUCAUUCUGUUGUAGUCUUGUAGAUGACAUUUAUUGACAUCCUCAUGGCAUCAUGACAUUGCGAAAAUGAUUAUUGUUUUAUUUAUUUAUUCUAUUCCAAUUUUAUACUUUAUAUAUCUCUAGAAAUGAUUUCUUUUUAAAGAGUUUUUACACAUGUUAAAAAUAUUAAUAUUUAUUAUCCAACUUUCCAUAAUUUUAAUCAAGAGUAGUUCAAUAAAUUUAAAAUUGAGAAAUUCCUCUAAGUACCAUCAAAUAUAGUUUUGAUUCCUAAUCUACCACACACUACUUAUUUUUCCACUAAUACCAUUAUUUAUUAACUAAAAAGACUAUUAUAACCCUCUUAUAAACUCAAGAUUAGAGACGCUUUUGCAAUCUCGUUCUCCAUCUCUCUACCGUCUUUAUCGUCAUGCUCAGACGGUGAGUUCUUAUUGUCUCCGAUGAGAGUACUCUGUCUAUCUACGACGUUGCUCAUCUUCGUCUUCCUCCGACGUCGUGAAACUGAUUUGACAAUUAGAAGCGUUUCACUUCCAUCGACAGCAAUCUCGUCAUUCACCAAUCCUCCACCAGAUCUGAGGGUUUGUAAAGCCUCGAUUCUGAUGAAUCUGUCGAGUUCGAGGUCGAGAUCAACAACAAUGGUCUUUCCAAAGCCAUCAACGUGUCUAGACCCGCGACGCAACCAUCAACAGUGGUGGUUCAUUUGGUAGUCGCGGCACGGAAGAAGGUUUGUGGACAUGAGUCGAUGGUGCUUGAGACCAAUUCGUCCCUAGGCUCGACAUGCUCUUCAAUUCCUUUGAGCAAUUAACCUCGAUGAUAAUAUAGCAAAUUUGCAAGUCAAAUUUUCUCUAAUAGAAUUGGUGACAAGGUAUUCUCUAUGCUCUAACUGCUUGAUUAGACCAAUUGUUUGCUUAAUCGAAUAAUUUUACUUGCUAUCAUUCUAAACCUCUACACAUUUUUUUUUUGUCUAGGAGUGUAUUAUGUGUUUUUGAAUUGUUUAGCUAAUGACACACAUCAAUCUGAUAGUGUUUUAUCUGGGGUUUCAAGGUUAAUUAGUUUCGUAGUGUUGCAGAACUAGUUUACAUAUGGGAUGCUAAAUAAGAUAUCACUUGAAGCAAUGUUAAAAAGAAACUUAACUAUAUUAAUAGUGUUAAUAAUGCAGUCACUCCAAUCUCUUCUCACGAGUUACCAAUCCAUUCACAUGUUUGGGAGAGAUUCUGUGUUUAUAUCUAUAUGUGCUCCCAAUGAAAAUCGGUAAAUAGGAAAAUUCUAGCAAUGGUUUUACUUGAUGAUAAAAUAUACAAAUGCUUUUUGCAAUAUUCGUGGUUGUUAGUAUAGAUUAUGGAAUCUGAAUAUAGGACUUGGAAAUAUCUUUGUGCUUUUGUGUUUCUCCCCUAGAUAUUGAAUUAGAAGGAGACGUAUGGCUAUAACACUUAUAUAGUCUUAACGAGUUAGGAAAGUAUCCCUAAACUUUUCAUUACCUAAAUGUGUUUUUGUUUAUAGGAGUUUCAUCGACAAAGGGGAAGUGAGAUCUCAGUUCGAUUAUAUCUUCAACUGCUGAAAAAGGGGUUCCUCAAUUUCUUCUUGAUCCGGUUCUAUAGGCUGUUCACAUUACACUCAAGUGACCUAUGAUAUACAUGGUGCAUAUAUUUUAGGAGUUGAUGAUAAAGAUAAGAAAAUACUUGACUUUAAGUUUGAAUUCAGGUUAUUGUGGAAGACCUCUCUAAAAUUCAAGAACUCCUUCCUAAAAGUUAUAGAAUUCUUCCUAAUUUUAAGGAAAUGUGUUUUUAAAUCUCUAUAUCUAUGGUUUGCAUCUAUGUUUUACUACAUUAGUAAGAGAUAAUGAUUUGAUUCUGUGCACACCAUGGUGUUCUAUUACAUAGGUAAAAAAUAAGAAUAUCCAACUUGGUGUUUUAGGAUAGUUUUCCUAAAUGUCGAUGAUUCCUCCCUAAAUUUCAAGGAUUCCUUCUUGAAUUUCAAGGAAUCCUUCAUAAAUUUUUAUGAACGUCAUGUAAUCCUUCCCAAAUCCAAAGAAAUAUGUGUUUAAUUCUUUAUAUUUUGCCUCAAUGUCUCACAUAUCAAUCCAUCAGUGAGAGGUAAUGAUUCAAUUUGUGCACAUCCUCGUGUUUAAGAAAAUCCAAUUUUAUUAUGAAGCCCAUCAUGAAGUUUAAAGAGUCCUUCCUAAGUUAUUCAUAAACUUUUUACGAAUCCCUAAAUCUGUUUAGGAAGGCUGUCCUAAAUUUUACAAUGUCUUCCUAAACUUCAUGAAUGUCUUCCUAAACUUAAUGAAUGUCUUCCUAAACUUAAUGAAUGUCUUCAGAAUCUUGAAUAAGUGUUAUUACCGAAAGAUUUAGACUUUAAUAGUCUCGAGUAGGGAAUAAAGUUAAGACUGUUCUUCCUCCAUUAGCAUUGGCAGAUUCCAAAUCCUCAGCGUAAUUACCAACUGGACUAUGCAAUGAUGGUGUUGGCAUUCUGUGAAUUGGUUACUGCUGUUGUUGCUGAGUUUGCCUCGCCAAGAACGAAGGAUCGAACUUCCCAUGCGUCGGUGAUCCAAACCCAUUACUCGUCGGCGAUCCAAACCCAUUACUUGUCGGUGAUCCAAACCCAUUACUCGUCGGCUAUCCAAAUUGCCCAUUACUCGUCGGUGAGUGGAAUCCCCCAUUCGUCGGCGAGCCAAUAUGAGCGGCUGCGAUUUGUCGGUGGUAGAACUGAGGCGGUUGUAAAUGAGGAUUAGCAGCUGCAGCCAUUUGUUGUUGCUGUUGAAGAGUAGCAACGAGAACAAAAGACGGCAUGAAAUUAUCAGAGCUUGGAACUCGAUUCGGAUGAAGAAAAUGAGCAGAAGCCGGAGAGCUAGCAAAGAGACGAUCUAUGGCCGGAUCUGAACCAGCUCCACCACCAGAAGACAAACCCUGCAUUCUCUUAAGAUAAAGCCUAUAAUUUUGCAAAUGAUUGGCAACGUUUUCUCUGGUUAACCCAUCAACACUCAUAAGCUGCAUAAUGGUUUGGGGAACUUCGUUCUUAAUCCCUAAAUGCGCGACCGCAUCAACGAAACGCUUAUGCAGCUGCGGCGUCCAAACGAGACAUGGUCGUUUCAAAGUUCGAGCAGGUUCGUCUCCGGCAGCUCCAGAGCCUAGAUCUGCAGAAUCUGAAGAGUCUAUGGCGUGAUGAGGAGGAGGCGACACGAGGUGAGGCUAGGUGAGGAGGAGAGGUGAGACAAAGAAAACGUGACGAAUGUUAUAAUUGGAAAUUGUUGGAGCGUGUGUUAUUUGUGGCAUAAAAACAUUAAAUGAUGCUAUCUAUGAGAAUCUCCCUUUAAAAUUUUUCAUUAAUAUAUUUACAACUUUACAAUUCGUUAUUAGAGAAAAUAUAAGAAAUCUAUAUUUAUGAAACAUAAAAGAAGAGAUACAUUACUUAUUUUCAAAGCCGUCUAUUACCACUAGUUGGUUGAGGAUUUCGUGAAGCUCAUCUUCAAGGUUGUAUCCGCUAUGAUUCCAAAAGAUUUUUCAAUCACUACAAAUCUCUCAAAGUUUAGCAUCUCUUUAGAGAACUCAUAGAACCCUUAUCUUUAUUUAAGUUGUAUUAUCUUUAUUUCCGAUUGUAUGAACCUCUCUCUUUUGAGGCUUUGAAUGGAAACUCUUGUUUGUUUAAAAAGAAAUAGAUAUCUUUCUAGUGGAAAUGGAGAGAGCAAAUUGUAUCAUACAUAUUGGGAGCCAUAUUGAUCAAUGAGUUUCAUAUAAUGUUUAUCGUCAAUUCCAAAUUUCAGAUCGGAUAAUUCUGGUUUCAGCUUAAUCGUCAAAGAAAACAUACCUACUAAACUAUAAAUUGGUAACCAUAUCGCUUUGUUUAAGUAUCAUUCAGUUUCAGAUUGUUUUAUUUAAACCCAAAUUUCUAUUAUUACAAACUAUUUGAUAACUAUAUUGAUGUGUUUCGGUUCAUAUAUACCAUGUUUAACACAAUUUCUUAGCUACUACUAAAAUUCUAGGCUUUUAACCAAAAAAAAAAAAUUAUUGUAUAAUAUUUGCAAUAGAUAAUAUUUAAAAUCGUCUAUAUAGUUUUAAGAGUAAAUUUAUUAGCAAAAUGUGCUACACAUAUUUGAUAUACAUACAUACAAAACCCAUCAUUAAUAAUGACUACACUAUGUUAUAAGCUGAGGCUACUCACACUACACACAAAAGUAAAUUUGGAUUUGGUUCCAUGUGUAUUGUUUGUAUCAACAUAAAUGAUCAAACUGUUCCUUAGUACAAAACUAUAAAUGGCUUCAAUUCGUUAAAACAGUUGACAAAUAUAAGUCUUUUUAAUUUCCUCAAAUAAAUAGUUUUGGUUUUAUUUUAGUAAGUACUAGUAAAAACUAAAAACAUAAUGCUUAAAUUUAAUAUUAAAUUUAAGUAAUUAAUUUAAUGACGACAAAAACAAAAGUGAUUAAUAUAAAAUUAAAUUUCAGUGAUUAAAAUUUAAUUCACUUGAAGAGAGAAACAGUAAAUAAAUAAAAUUAAAUAAAAAUAACAAAAGGGCAGGUUUUGUUUGUUUGGGCGUUGAGUUCGUCUUCUCUCUCUCGUAAACCAAAAAAAAAAAACACAUUUUUCAAAUUCUCUGAAUCUUUUACUCCGAUUAACUUUUUCCGGGAGGAUCUCACCGGAGAAAGCAAAGUUAGGGUUUUUUUUCUUCUUCACAAAAGUGAAGAUUUUUGGAAAACGAGAACUUUAAUUAAGAGAAAGAUGUGUUGCGAAUUUUAGCUUGGAUCUUUUUUUUCCCUUAAUUUAAAGCUUUUUAGGGUUGUGAAAAAAAUGGAUUUGGAUUCGUCUAUGGUAUCAGAGAACGAUCAAGAUCCUGUUACUACGACGGCUUCAUCGUCACCUAUGGAGAAAGAAGCGUCUGAGCAAUCAACGGAGGAAACUGGAUCCGAAUCCGAAUCGGCGUCUUUGACUCCUUCGUCUCCGUCGUCACAGGGAGGAGGACAACAACAACAACAGGUAACGCCGGUGGUUGGGCCGAGAUGUGCGCCGACGUAUUCGGUUGUGAAUGCUGUUAUUGAGAAGAAAGAGGAUGGUCCUGGUCCUAGAUGUGGUCAUACGUUGACGGCGGUUCCGGCUGUUGGUGAGGAAGGGACGUCUUGUUAUAUUGGACCUAGACUGAUCUUGUUUGGUGGUGCUACGGCUCUUGAGGGUAAUUCAGGAGGAACAGGGACGCCUACUUCAGCGGGAAGUGCUGGCAUUAGUAUGUUUUUUUCGAUUUCUCUCGGUUACUUUAGUGUUCUAAUAAAGCUAUUUGCUUGUGAGGGUGAAGCUGUUUUCUCAGCAUUUGUAGUAUCGAUGGGAAAAAUCAUUCCUUAAUGUUAGAUUUGUAUUAGUUCUAUUCUUGAAGUGUUGUUUUGGCUUGUUGGUUUUAGACUUGCAAUGCUGUAUUUUGAUGUUUGGAAGAAUGUUUGUUAUGCAGGACUUGCUGGUGCAACUGCUGAUGUCCAUUGUUAUGAUGUUCUUACUAAUAAGUGGUCGAGGUGAGUAUAAGAUAUGAAUUGUGUUGUCUGUAUCUUGGACAGUUAAUUUGUAUCCUUAUAAGACAAAAUGUAUGAGAUCUAGUCAUUUUUAGUAAGUGUGGAGUUUAAUAUGAUGGAAUAAUGCUUCAGACUUACACCAUAUGGAGAACCACCUAGCCCAAGAGCUGCACACGUUGCUACUGCUGUUGGGACCAUGGUAGUUAUUCAGGUAGGGGAGAAAUUAUCUCUUGUAGUUUAGCAAAGUUAUCAUUUAUGGUCAGCAAUUUGAACCUGCUAUUGAAUUGUUUCUGUGGUGCACAGGGUGGAAUAGGUCCUGCUGGUUUAUCAGCUGAGGACCUUCACGUUCUUGACCUCACUCAGCAACGGCCACGAUGGCACAGGUUAGAAUAGAUAUCUGCUCUUUAUGGCGAGCUCAGUUUGAAAUUCAUUAUGCUAGUUUGUCGCUUGAUUUAGAAUAUCUUUAUAUAGGGUUGUUGUUCAGGGUCCUGGACCAGGUCCGCGUUAUGGACAUGUUAUGGCACUGGUAGGACAGAGGUAUCUCAUGGCAAUUGGUGGAAAUGAUGGUAAGCAGUUUUACUCGCUUCCUCAUUAAAGUGUAUUUAUAUUAUCCUUAAAUAGCUCUUUUUCUCUUAUCAUUAAAUUACCAGGAAAACGUCCAUUAGCGGAUGUAUGGGCUUUGGACACUGCUGCCAAACCUUACGAAUGGCGUAAGCUGGAACCAGAAGGGGAAGGUCCACCUCCAUGCAUGUAAUUUAGCUUCCUUGGCUUCAUUAGUUUGAUGUAAUCUUGGUUCUCUUAAGUGAUUUGGAUCUCUUGGGUUUGUACGUUAUAACUAGGUAUGCAACUGCAAGUGCACGGUCUGAUGGCCUUCUUCUUCUCUGUGGAGGAAGAGAUGCGAAUAGUGUGGUAAGCCUAAGAGUUUCUGCUUCCAUGUUAAUCCCCUGUUUGAAAAUAGACAGUUGUUGUACAUUAAGUAAUUAAAUUUGUCACCUGGAGGGAAUCCAAAUGCAAUAUUGCUCUCCGCUACCAUUAUAUCAAUUCUGCAGUGAGGUGACAGGGAAUAGCUUCUCUUUGUAAAUUAAUUCAAAUAAGAGUUCAAGUAGAAUAUUAUUUACCAUGCUUUCAUAAAAGUGGGAAUUAGAGUUUAGGAGGUUCUUUGUCUGUCUUGAUCUUAAAUGUUUUAUUGCCAUACUUAAUAUGUCUUUUCGUACCUUUGCAUGAUAGCCCUUAGCAAGUGCAUAUGGACUUGCCAAGCACAGAGAUGGACGUUGGGAAUGGGCCAUAGCCCCUGGUGUUUCACCUUCUCCCAGAUACCAGCAUGCAGCAGUAUGAAACACUUCUUUUCCUUUAUUUUCUUCUCUUAUGUAGUUCCAUCAGAAAAACUAACCUUUUGUGGUAUUUUAGGUCUUUGUAAACGCCAGACUCCAUGUCUCUGGUGGGGCACUUGGUGGUGGACGCAUGGUAGAAGACUCUUCCAGUGUUGCAGGUUAGCAAAAGGAAAGAAAUAAUCUUAUGUUUGUGUUGUUUUGGAGUUUUCAAUGAGCUAAUACAUAUGAUUUUUUCUUAUACAUGCAAUAAUUAAACCAAUGAAAUAUGUUGUUUUCUAUAGAACUUUAGGUUAUUUUAAUCGAUGGAUUGUGACUGAAGCAUAUUGUUCCUAAAGGCAUGGUUAUACACUUAUAGUCAUCCUUUCUCUUAGCUGUAUCAUUAUUCCCAAUGGACUCUAGAAGCCAAAUUUGAUUUGAGUUUUGUCCAAAACAGACCAAACAGAGAUUUUGUUAAAAAUGGUUCACUCAUCUAUUGUAGAAAGGGCUACAAAAUUAUAUUCAUAAUAAAUAGUACAUCUAUUCCUCUAAGCUUCUCUGACUGGUUCAUGUUUUCCCUUUGUUCAGUGUUGGAUACUGCAGCAGGUGUAUGGUGUGAUACAAAAUCGGUUGUUACUAGUCCUAGAACUGGUAGGUAUAGUGCUGACGCACCUGGUGGUGAUGCUUCUGUUGAGUUAACUAGGCGUUGCAGGCAUGCUGCUGCUGCAGUGGGUGAUUUGAUAUUUAUCUAUGGUGGUUUGCGUGGAGGUAACGGAAAAAAGCUUGACAAAUUUUAUACCUUUUUACAUAUUUGACCAGGAAAAUGAACCAUUCUUACAGCAUCUGAGACCCAAAUAAUUAUGUAAAAUUGGUAUAAUAUUUCAUCGAGUUGCCAAUGUAUGGUAAUGUAGAAUUUAGUAGUUUGAUCUUUUUUUUUUAAGUCUGGGACUUUGUAUUAUCAACAUUAGUUAGUUUGAACAUCCUGUUAUUUGGUGAUGUUGCUCUCCUUUUCCUUCUCCUGUAGACCCAUGCAUCUAGUUACAAAUUAUAGCUGCAAAACUUAACAGUAUUCUGGCUGUUCUGUAGGAGUGUUACUUGAUGACCUAUUGGUUGCUGAAGAUCUUGCUGCUGCGGAAACAACAUCUGCUGCCUCUCAUGCUGCUGCGGCUGCUGCAGCAACAAACUCACAACCUGGCCGUUCACCUGGAAGAUAUGGAUUUUCUGAUGAAAGGACUGGAGAGCCACCGGAAUCAGCUCCUGAUGCCGUGGUGCUGGGAAGUCCUGUUGCACCCCCUGUAAAUGGUGAUAUGUAUACGGAUAUAAGCACUGAAAAUGCAUUAGUUCCAGGAACUCGGUUAGUGUCUUACUUGGGGAUGUAUCAUAUUGUUACCGAACCUGUGAAUUUUUUCUUGAAAAAUAUUUAUCAAACAACAUUGUAGGAGAACAAGCAAGGGUGUAGAGUAUCUCGUUGAAGCAUCUGCUGCGGAAGCCGAGGCUAUCAGUGCAACUUUAGCUGCUGCGAAGGCACGACAGGUCAACGGUGAAGUUGAACUACCGGAUAGGGAUCGUGGUGCUGAGGCUACACCCAGUGGAAAAGCUUCAUUAUCAUUAAUUAAGCCUGAUUCUGCAGUACCCAACAGUGUUAUUCCUGCGGGGGUUCGACUUCAUCAUAGAGCUGUGAGUCAAUCUAACUUAUCAAAUAAAAUCAGACACUUCGCAACAUAUUUCGUCCUUAUGUAAUAGUGGCGUACUUCUCUAAUUUCUUAUUUUGACUUCACAUUUAUUUUGGAACUUUGUAAGGUGGUGGUUGCUGCAGAAACAGGUGGAGCCUUAGGUGGAAUGGUUAGACAGUUAUCCAUUGAUCAAUUUGAAAAUGAGGGACGCCGUGUUAGCUAUGGGACACCUGAAAGUGCUACAGCAGCAAGGAAAUUAUUGGAUCGGCAGAUGUCAAUCAAUAGUGUUCCGAAAAAGGUAGAGAGUUUUGCUCUCCAAAUGAAUUGCUUCCAGAAAGCUUUAUGUUCAUGAAUGUGGAUUUAGAAUAACAAUUAUACAUUUGUUACAUUUUCCUACGGAAGAUUGUUUGCUUGAACUGUUGUAGAUAAUUUUUCUUGCUGGUCUGAUAGGAAUAAGAAGUGUUGUUAGAUACUGUAGGUAUGUUACCACUUGGUUUAAUAGGAUUGUAAACUUUUUUGGGUAUUGUUCAACAGUAUGAGGUGCCGAGUUGACAUUCAAUAGUUUCUAAUGAAGUUACAACUCUAUUUCAUUAGGUUGUAGCUCAUCUUUUGAAACCUCGAGGGUGGAAGCCUCCAGUUCGACGCCAGUUUUUCUUGGAUUGCAAUGAAAUAGCUGAUCUUUGCGACAGUGCAGAACGUAUCUUCUCGAGUGAACCUACUGUGUUACAGCUUAGAGCCCCUAUUAAGAUAUUUGGUGAUUUGCAUGGUCAGUUUGGGGAUCUCAUGCGCCUUUUUGAUGAAUAUGGUUCACCCUCAACAGCUGGAGACAUAUCGUAAGUGUGCAGCUAAAUCUCUCAAUGCUAUAUGAUUUUUACUUUCGAUAUUGCUAUCGUUGGUCUGACUUGCUGAGUGUGUACAAUGGUUUUCAGAUAUAUCGAUUACCUCUUCUUAGGGGAUUAUGUUGAUCGGGGUCAACACAGCCUAGAGACAAUUACACUUCUGCUUGCAUUAAAGGUAGUACUAGAGCAUCAUAUUAGUGUUUUCUAUUCAGGUAUUAUAAACGCUUGAUAGGAAAGAGUAUAACGUCCAAUGGUUGACACUGCAGGUUGAAUACCAACAUAACGUACAUCUAAUUCGUGGAAACCAUGAAGCUGCCGAUAUUAAUGCCCUUUUUGGUUUCCGGAUAGAGUGUAUUGAGCGGAUGGUAGUGUCUCAACGCUGUGAAUCUCUUGUUUUCACUUUUUGGUUCUCAUGUCGUGGCUACUUUGCAGGGUGAACGUGAUGGGAUCUGGGUGUGGCACCGGAUAAACCGUUUAUUCAAUUGGCUACCUCUGGCUGCACUGAUUGAAAAGAAAAUAAUCUGUAUGCAUGGGGGAAUUGGUCGGUCGAUAAAUCAUGUGGAGCAGAUUGAAAAUAUACAACGUCCGAUUACAAUGGAAGCAGGCUCUAUCGUGCUUAUGGAUUUACUAUGGUAAAGUCCAUGUCUAAUGCUAUAUCAUUAAUCAUUCUACUUUUUUUUCUUGACCCUUGUCUAACCAGUAUGUCAUUUUGCAAUCUGUUAGGUCCGAUCCAACUGAAAAUGACAGUGUCGAAGGUUUAAGGCCCAAUGCUAGAGGUCCUGGAUUGGUUACUUUCGGGGUGAGUGGUCUCCUCCUCUAAUUCAUACAUUUUGAUUGAUUACAUACUCUCUUUCCCUUCCCUCCUCUCUUCAUAUUCUUUACAUACGUUUGUUGUUCAUUCCUUUCCUCGUCAUUUUAAGUUUCUGACGUGUGGAGAAGGGUACUUGUUUUGGUUGACCCUUACGACUCUAGACUUGUUCAUGAGCUUGUUAGACAGUACUGAACAAUAUACUUCUAGUUCGCUUCAAUUUCUAUAUCAAGACAAUGAUACUGAAUAAUAUAAUUCUAAUUCGCAUCUGCUGGUUCUGUUACUGACAAAGAUUUUGGUGAUUGCAGCCUGACCGUGUCAUGGAGUUCUGCAACAACAAUGAUCUUCAAUUGAUUGUACGAGCGCAUGAAUGUGUGAUGGACGGAUUUGAGCGUUUCGCUCAGGGGCAUUUGAUCACGCUCUUUUCGGCGACAAACUAUUGUGGUAUGUCUAUGGAACCAAACACUCUCUAGUAAGCCGCCAAAAAAAGCCUGAAUCUUACAAAAUCAUAUCAUGUUCCUUUUCAGGUACUGCAAACAAUGCUGGGGCUAUCUUGGUGUUGGGGAGAGAUCUUGUUGUGGUUCCUAAGCUUAUCCAUCCAUUGCCUCCAGCAAUUACCUCACCUGAAACUUCGCCAGAAAGACAUAUAGAGGACACAUGGAUGCAGGUUUUUAUCUCUCAGACAGAGACUAUUCCUUCUUUUUCCUACCUGGAAAAUGGCAUAACCGAGCAUUUAUAUAUUGCAGGAGUUAAACGCAAAUCGACCACCAACACCAACAAGAGGACGCCCACAAAAUCCAAAUGACCGCGGUUCUCUUGCUUGGAUAUAACCCCCCCAGAGAAAGAGAGACGCAUGAGAGAGUACAUACUUCUCCCGAUAGCCGCCUCUUGGUGAUCCUCAUGUUGCGUACAGAUCCAACCAAACCGUUCUUGAUCCACAAUGUGCUAUUUUACCGACGAGAUGGAUCAGAUCACAUUGAGAAUCGACGAGGGGUCUGAGAUUUUGGGGAAUUUCACAGGUCAGAUGAUGAAAGAGUAAAGAAGUCAGGUCGGUGGUGAGUACUAGAGUACUGAGUAGUGGUGUGAGGAAGAGUAUUUGUUGGGUAUAAGGUUUUUUUUGUCAUAAUUAUAUGAUUUCUUCGUAGUAUUGAUUAAUUAUUAUAUAUGUGGUAUUGGUCUUUUGGCGAGAUACACCACACGAGUGAGUAGAAGGUGAGGAGUCUUAGAGGUGUAUUAGUUUUGGGGUAUUCUAUGUAGCAUAUAGAGAGAGGUGUUUGAGAGUUUGUGUAAUUUCUCCAUUCAUAUUUUUCAUUAUGUAAUUUGUAACCACCGUUUUGUGUGUGUUUAUGUUACCAAAAAUUCUCUCCCAUUUUUUCUAUCAUAUUCCAAAGUUUUCUUCUUUCUUUCUAAUCUCCGGUCAUUUCGACCAUCUUUGGUUAUCCUUAGGCCACCAUCUACUUGGCAGCUCAGUUUAUACGAAGAGUUGUGGAAUUGAACAUCUUUGAAUAAACAGAGUUUAUAUAACCGUAUAUUCUUGGACUCAUGUUUCUCAAUAGUUCCUCGAAAACCUCUAUAUCAUUGGAUUUGAUUCAUAGGCUCCAAUUCUUCAUUGCGAAGUCGAUGGCUUACAUUGGCACCAAAAUCUCCCGGAUCAUUGUUUGGUAUGGAAGUGUUCAACUCAGUUCCAUUCCCUUUACCACCAUUUAGAAGUACCUUGGGAAUGAUGGGCACAUGCCUAUGAUACCCUAUGGAAGUGUUCCACUUAGUUUUGUUCCCUACCCUAUGGACAUUCACCUAUCAAGCCAUUCAAAAUAUAGAUGGAAUUUGUGUAUUCAUUUUAGCUACUCUCACAGCCAACUUCAAAAAUAAAAUAUGAACUUAAAGAACUAAGCUCAUAACUAAUGGAUUUGUAGCUUUAUCAUUGGGACAGUAAGAGAUUAAAACAUAUAUAGGUUUGCUGAACAAAAGAUUAAAAAGCCAAAUACAAGAGAUGUGGGAGAUUAGUUGGGGCUUUUGGGCACACACACACACACACACAUACAUUCAUAAAAACACAACUAAAAGGGAACAUGGAUCUCAUGGUUGAUCUCAUCUCCAUUUACACCUAUCUGUUCAAGCAUUCGUUGUUACGCCAUCGUGAUCACCGUUUUGAUCAACAUCUCCAUAACAAUACUCACUAAAACCUGACUGUAGAAACCAUACUAGACCUAGUUUCUUUAUAUUACUAUAGUCAUUUACAUUUUUUCUUAUCAAACCCCUAUACUUAAAUCAUCUCCUCUCUAUCUAUCUUACACACAUCCAUUUUUCGAAACCAUCCAAAGGCCAAGGCUAUACACAAAAUAUACAUAAGCAACAAGCUGAAAACAAUAUCAUCCCUAUUAAUUAGUUCUUAAUCCAUGAUUUGAUAAGCUGAAGAGGGAUAUAUCCCCGAGAUCUCAGUUCCUUGACUUGUCGAUCCAAACUGAAUGUUGUUAAAGGUUUGGUCACAAGAAUGAGGCAGGCCAAGAGAAAGGGAGACACCAUUUCCAACCAUUGUGUGAUAGUUUUCAAACCCUCCAUGGAAAUGGAUGAAGUUAUCUUGAUUCAUGUGAUGCUUCUUGAACCUCCCUAUGCUGUAACUUGAUGAUGAAUUUUGCAUAGGGGUUUCAUUUUCAUUGAAUCUUUGAUAAAAGACGGGUAGGAUCGAGUUGGAGGAUUCAUCUGAAGUAGUAUUAUUGUAAGGUUGCUUAGAAGAUGAAGCCUUGGUACUGUUUUCAUUCGGGUUAUUUCCUUUUUUGCUUUCUUCAAUAUCCAUUUCUUCCAUAUACAAUUCCUCCACCAUUGGCUUCCACACUCGAACUCGAGCAUUUAUGAACCAAUUUGACACCUACAUCCAUUUUAUACAAAGUUUCAUAAAUAUUACCAUUCCUCAAGAAGAUAUAAUUAGUAACUUUACAAAAUUACAUUUGAUUUUGUUUUAGAAGGUUUUCAUAAAUAUAUAUAUGCACUAUACAAUCAUCACCAUUCUUAUUAAGAUAAUUAUAAUUAAAAAUAGAAACAUCAGUUUGAAAAUGUAUAUAUGACCAUCAUCUAUCUAAUAAUAUUACAAAAUUGUUUCAAUUUUAAGAAUUCUUGGGAAACAAAAUAAAUUUUGCUAGAGAUUUUCGUUUUUAGCUUAAGUUUUAGGCUCGAGCCUUUGAUAGAUGAUGUUAUGAAAAUUGUAUAUGUACUAUGGGACAUUUAACAUUAACAAAAAUUCAUUAUGUUAAUAAACUUCUCAUUUACCUGACUCUUAGUAAGUCCAGUCUGUUUAGCAAGCAUUACCUUAUCCAAAUCCCUUGGAUAUCUACACAAACCAAAACAAGACACAACUAGUUAAUCAGCAUGCACGUCUACACAAAACUAACUCUAUAAUCGAUACUAAAAUUGAAGAUAGAAGUAAACGUUACUUACGGAUGAAGAAAAUGCUCAAAGAGCCAAGAACGUAGUACGGAAACAGCUUUUUCGGGCAAACCUCUUUGCGGUCUCCAAGCAUUUGUAUGGCGAUCUGCCAUCUUCUCCAACUGCUUAAGCUUCUCAUCAUCACAUUCUUUUUUUCCCAACAGCUUGUUUAUGUGUUUGAUUUGCAAACAUAUCAUGUCUUUUACGACACGGAACUUCUUUGAUAUUGUUUGUAACGCCAUAUUUGUGUAUGCGUUCGCUGAGCCUAAACCCGCGGCUUGCUCAAACGAUGAGAUUAUAGUCUGCAUUUGGUCUUGGUAUUGCUUGUAUCUCUGUUCAACCUGUGUAAUUUACAUAAAUCAUAUCCCAAAUCAAAUAUUUGAAAACCUUUACCGAUCAACAAAACAUACUUAAAUUUAGAUCUUUUAUUUUUGUUGUCACGGCUUAAAAUGUACAUAUAUAUGAUUUUUCCCCCUUUCUCAUGUAAGAGGUUAGUUUAUUUAACGAGCUACUAAAUCUGUUUUUGAUUUCUUCCCCCAAGGCCCUAUGCUUUGUACCAAUCUUUGAUGCCUAAAAACUCGGAAACAUUUUAAACACAAUAGCCACACUAAACCAUUUUAUCAUACAGUUUUUAUACAUACAAUUUUCUUACAUUGGUUUAUGCAACACAUAUAUAUCUAGGUGGUAUAAAUGAGUUACCUUUUCAACCAUGGAGAUGAGCUUUGCUUUCUUUAUCUCCAACUCUUGGCGAUAGCCAGCCACGCCGGGCUUAUGGCCACCAAGGAUGCCCCCAUUUCCAUAAAUCCCGGACUCUUUACUCAUUGGUUGCUUCUGUUUCGCGCCAUGGCUACCGUUUCCAAGAUUUACAAUCUCAUUCAGCAGUUCUUGAGCAGCCCUCAAGUAGAUAGGAGCCAAAGCCUUAAAGACUAACUCUUGGUUUGAAAACGUAGAGAUAGAAGAGUUUCCUUGUUCUAAAUGAUCUACUUCAUCUCGCGGUCCAUGUUGUUGAGACACAAAACACAAGUUGUAGAAGUGAUGGUUAUGACCAUUAGUGGUUGUUGUCGGCUCGGUGAAUGGAUUCAAAUUCAUCAUAAAAAGAUCAGAAGAGGGUUGAUCUCUCAUAUCAGAUUCUCCAUUGAAGAAAGAAGCCAUAUUAUUCUGACAAAACAUAUAAAGUUCAAGAACAAUCUCAAACUAUAUUAUAAAACUGAUAUGACAUUAUAUCUCCAAGAGCAUAGGAAAGAAAAGGUAAGCAAAAAGAUUAUGAAAUUAAGAAAAUAUAAUUUACCAUUUUUAAAUAUAAUUAGAAAUGAUGAUGAGCAGCAAAUUAUGGUUGUGAGUUUCUCAUUGUCUUCUUCAACGUGUCUUUCUCUCUGCUUGCGAUGAUCGAUCAUCUAAGACUGUCCUCUGCUUCAAUGAUCUGUCAUCAACAAGAAAGUCCAAUAAGUCUCCUUUAUAAAUAAAAAUGUGAUUGGACUUUUCAGGAAUGUGAAAUAUAUAUAUACUUUCUUCUUUUAAUCUCAUUGGACAACUAAACAGUGACACUCACGAUUGUUUGUUUUCUUGUUAUAUGUUCUCAAGUUCAAAGUUUCUAUUACAAAGAUGAUUUUAUCUUAGGCAUAAACAAUUCACACAAUCACACCCAAGAGUUUAUGCAAAAAUAUAACCAUAAUAGUUUUAGUAGCUUACUAACAUGUUUUUUUUUCCUUUUAUAUAAUAACUCACAAAUGUUUUUAGUAAUUUAUACUACCUUGUAUAUAUCGAAAUCAAUUGUUAAAACAUGACUUAUAAAUGAUAUUUCCUCCGUUUCACAAAGAGUGUCAUUUUGACACAUGUCACACAAAUUAAGAAAAUAUUAAUAUAUACAUAUAUGUUCCUAUUUAAUAAGUGAAUUAUGAGUUUAAUAAGUUUUAGAUUAAGCGUAAAAUUAUUAAAUCUAGUGUAAAAGAUGCAUUGGAAAUGUAGAAUGACACUUUUUGUGUAACAAAAUUAAAACUCUAAAAUUACACUAUUUGUGAAACAGAUGAAGUAAUUAUAAAAUACUAGACUUUUUUUUUUAAUGCAAAACGCAAAAAUGUGUAAAUUUGUAUACAUGUAUCACCAAUGAACUUGAACUUGAACCACUUUAUAUGGGAGUCAUGGGGCACACAAAUAUGUUACUGAAAUCAAAUUUGUAGGUUUUUAUUGACUAAUAUAUCUAACCACUCCAAUUCUUAAAAAGUCGAUCAUAUUUUGCCAUAAGCAUUCACAUCACAUUAUCUUGUUUAAUCUCCAAAAUAUAGAUCUACCAAAUACAAUCUAAGUAUAAUAAGUGUAGCUACCAUAUGUACGCACGUUUAAUAUAUGGCAGCGCAUGUAAAUGAUCUACAUGAAUGGCUUAUUAGGUCAACAUUAUUUACUACUUAUAUUAUAUAGUAUUAAUGUUAUAAAUCUACAACGAAUCUAUGUAUAAGUAAAUAUAUUUGAGAAAAGACAAAUAGACAAAUAGAGGUGGGUCAGCAGAACCAUGGAGAUAGUUGAAGAACGAGGAAACGUCUACUUCCACUCCACACAUCAAAAGUCUACUUUAUAAUCUUUAAAUUAUAAAUAAGCAUAUUAGAAGAGUUUAAAAGAAGUUUUGCGAUGGGAAUAUAAAAUUUUAUAAUUUUUUAUAUUUAAAAAGAAGUAUUUUUGAAAAUAAAUACAUAAAAACGAUAUUUUUGAAAAUGGUACACUAAAAAAUAUAUUUCUCGAAAAUUUUCAUAAAGUUCUAUCGGUUUAAUGUUAGAAAAUUUAUGAUAAGACUAAUUGUUUAUUAUUAUUAUUUUUAAAAAUUGAACUGAAAGAAAACUAUUUAGUGGAAGCUCCCUUAAUUUAGUGGUUGACGAAGGGUUGUUUAAAGCUUCUACACCAAAAGGUCUGGGGUUCGACAUCCAGGUAAUGCGAUUUAUUUAAUUUGCAGAUUAAGGAGAUAAGCUUACAGGAGAUCUAUAACAAUGCAUAAUUAGAGCCGUUUGCCGUGAUUCUACGCAUGGAGAAGGAGGUGUCGUCAGGAAAGGGUGUAAUCUGUGGUGAAUCUAAAAGGGUCGGACAGAAUUGCCGGUAGUAGAAUCGUCAUUGUAACAAUUCUCAUAAUUUGCAAUAAAUAAUAAAUCAAGAGUUAAAACAAAAAAAAAAAACUAUUUAUGUUGUUAAUUAGGAGGUAGUAGAUCGAUGAGAUCAAGAUGUUACUGAUUACAAACUCUUUUGUAAUGAGAUUUCUGACUGAAUACAAUUUUACAUUCAUUAUUGGAAAGAAGGAUAUUCAAUAUACUUUAUAGAAUUUUGGUGCAUAUAUAUUGUAAGUCGUUUUGUUCUUUAAUUUCAAAACCAACGGUUGAUGAUAGUUGUGGAUCGAUGGUCCACACAAAAAAUAGCACCUAAACCUCAACUUUGGACACGAUAACAUUGAAAACACAUCAUGUUGAUUAUUAAGGAGGUGACUUGGAGAUUCCACUAAGAUAUUGAAAAAAGUUGGGUUAGCAUGAAUUAACCUAAAGCCAUGCAUGUUAGAAUCAGAGAUUGACAAGUGUAUUGUUUACUUUGUCAAAACCAUCAUAACUGAUCAACGACCAUCAUUAAAAAUGCUAAGAGUGAGUUAUAAAGCUAAUUAGUUAAAGCUUAGCUUGCUAAAAGCCACUAUAGAGCAACGUAAAAUAUAAAGUGAAAAAAUAAAGCUAAUUGAUUAUCAUGCAACUUCUAAUCUUAGAUAGCCAUUAUGGAAACAAUUUAUUACUUUUUCAUUUUUAUAAGAAACUUUUUCUUAUUGACUUAGUGUUGCUUAAUGAUGUUUAGGAGAUUGAUGAACAUGAUAGAAUUUUUUUUAGUAAAUUUCCAAUAUAAACCAAAAUAAAGAUUGUAUAAUAACAAAACACACAAAGGGAAACAGACUUGUACACUUGUUCAAUAUAAGAUAAAAGAUAAUAAGGUUUUUUUAUAUCAACAAUAAGAGCAUGAUAGUUGAAGUCUACUUCUACUUCACACAUCAAAAGUCUACUUUUUUCUUUCUAUUUUAAAAAUAAAUAAGCAUAUUAGUUUGCGACAAGUGAUCACUCUUUUCUUUUCUUUUCUUUUUUACAUGUAAACGACUAACUGUAUUGCAAUGCAAAAUACAUAUAUAAAAAAAAGUGCCAAAAUUUCAGAAUUUUGCAUAGGUCUUCUUUUAUUUUUAAAAUUUCUUCCGUUUACUUUUUUUAGAUUAUUCAUAACGUAUAUUAGAUAAGGUGUACACGGGUUAAAAAUUUGAGAAUUUACGAGAAAUGCCAUUUUUGGUGUAACUCUAUCUAUCUAUUUUCAAAAAUAUAUCAUUUUAAAUAUGAAAAAUUGUAAACUUUUAUAUAAAGUACAUCUAUAUCAUCAUUACUACUGGAAGACACAAUCUAAAUAUUUAUAAUUACUACUGGAAGACACAAUCUAAAUAAAAGAGGCACAAUCGUUGCGUUGAAAGUCGAGAUUCUCUCUCUCUUGCGAAAAGUUUCUCAGAUCUAGUUUUUUUUUCUUUUCCUUUUUUCCAAUCGGUUCUUCAACGUUGCCAUAGUCAAUCAAAGGAGAUCCAAAAGUGAGUAGCUCUUCCUCUCUGUCAGCGGUGGUGUGGUUUCUUCACCGAUGUGGUUGUGGCUUCGGAUUUGCGGUGGUGGUUCUCUGCAGCGUGGAUUCCUGUUUUGAAGACGGCGGGAUGCUUUGGAGAUCUGUUAGGCUCAGCCGUUAUUUCUGUACGCUGCGUCCAUGGCGGAAGCUGGUGAAGGUUUGGUGGGUUUCGCUGUUUGACGAGGAGGUUAACUGUAGAUCUAUAUGGUCUUAGAUGGCUGAGCGGAGUUUCGGGUUCAGCAGGCGGGUAUGAGCCACCGUCAUCUGAAUCCGCCGUCUUUUUGCAUCCUCACGUCCAGAUUGAAGAGGAGUUACUCGGAGAUCCCAUGAAAUCCGGGUAAGGAGGAGAAAUGUUAGGUUUGAGUGUGUCGAAUUGCUAGGUCGGGAUUUGACACCGCGGAACCGUGUCGUCGGAGUGACUAGCUUUCCGGGAGAUCUGUGACGGGUUGGUACGGUGGAGGAAAAGGGAUCAUCGGCGGAAACCGGUCUCUUUCGCCUUUGGUUUUCAAUCCUUCGUCGUGGCCGCAAAGUUGUGGAUCUUGAGUCCGCCGGAUUUAAUGCUCCGGUCACUCUGCCUCCGGCGAUCAGCAGAGCCAGAGUUUUUCUUCCUUCCCCGUAGAUCUAGGGUUUCCUUUGUUUUUGGGUCUCUUUUGUGUAAGGUUUUGGCCCAGCCCAUUUGGGAUGUUUUGGUUUUCAAAAUAUAAAAAAAAAAUAUAUAUAUAUUUAUAAAGUUUGAAGAGGUUAUAAACGACAUUUAUAAGGUUUUUAUAAUGUUUUUAAAAGGUUUACAAAGUUUUUAUAUGAUUUUUAAAUGAUCUUUAAAGAGUAUACGGUGUUUAUGAAAUAGAUAUAUAAAUUUACACAGAUAUAAAGAUAAUUUGUUUCUAUA